AAGGGAGCUUGUUAAUCGCUGUAAGCCAUUUUGCCGUUCAGAGGAGAGUUGGAGAGUGUGGUGAGCAGAUGAGAGCUAGUUUCUGAAUUUAAAAUGCCACCACGGAUCAGUCCCCUUAGGGAUGCCAUAGAACAUGUGGUUUCAAAAACAGACAAAACAAGCAAGUUGGAGGUGAAGUACAUUAAUGCAGUAAAAGGACGUGGAGUAUUUGCAAAGAGUUCUAUUUGCAAAGGAGAUUUUCUUGUUGAAUAUCGAGGAGAUAUGAUAAAUGAAGCAGAAUCCCAGAGAAGAAGAAACAUUUACCACCCAUCAUGUACUGUAUUUAUGUUUGACUUCAAGUGGAAAGGGAAACUAUGGUGUAUUGAUGCCUCAAGAGAAGAUGGAUCAUUUGGGCGGCUCGUUAACGAUGACCACAGACACCCAAACUGUAAAAUGAAAAAAAUUGAUGUGGAUGGAAAACCACACCUUUGUUUGUUUGCCCUGAAUGACAUUAAAGAAGGAGAAGAAAUUGUCUAUGACUAUGGGGGUGAUGACUACCCAUGGAGAACACAAGUAUGUUGCAAAGUAUGCAGUAUACGUAAUGCU